rnacentral:rRNA from 1 species
GACGAACGCUGGCGGCGUGCUUAACACAUGCAAGUCGAACGGUGAAGCGCCUUCCUUUUUGGUGGUGUGGAUGAGUGGCGAACGGGUGAGUAACACGUGGGUAACCUUCCCCCCUCUUCUGGGAAACCGCAUGAAAGGUGGGCUAAUACGGGAUAUUCUGGGGUCGUCGCAUGGUGGGUCUGGGAAAGGUUUUGUUUCGGGGGGGGAGGGGCUCGCGGCCUAUCAGCUUGUUGGGGGGGUGAUGGCCUACCAAGGGGGUGACGGGUAGCCGGCCUGAGAGGGUGGACGGUCACACUGGGACUGAGACACGGCCCAGACUCCUACGGGAGGCAGCAGUGGGGAAUAUUGCACAAUGGGCGCAAGCCUGAUGCAGCGACGCCGCGUGAGGGAUGGAGGCCUUCGGGUUGUGAACCUCUUUCGCCAGUGAAGCAGGCCUGCCUCGUUUGUGGGUGGGUUGACGGUAGCUGGAUAAGAAGCGCCGGCUAACUACGUG